AGAGAUGAUGGGGUUGAUAGGCCGGAAGUGGAAGCGCAGUAAUGUGUGGAGCUGACCGGUACUAAUAGGCCGAGGACUUGACCAU
rnacentral:rRNA from 1 species